AGCCGUAUUCCUCAUCCCCAGGCGCACACAGCACUCAGAGCCAGCCAACGAGGGAUUCAAAGGCCUAUGGGGGAAACUUGGCAGACAUGGGACUUCAGCUAACUCCUAUAAUCUCCCUGAGGAUCAGGUUUUUCAAUUUAGUGGAAUACAUAAGUGUUGCAGAAUGCAGAUGCUGGUGAUGACUGGAAACCUAUCUCUCUACCAAAAUAUUUGGAAAGGUGCCAAACCAGGAAGAAUGAUAGAUCCCUCUUUCUCAAGAUGGAGUUUGAUAGAAAGAGAGGCCAGGAGCAGGAGCAGAGGAGCACAGGCUGAUGAUUCCAGUUACUUGGAGGCUGAGGCAGGAGGAUGGAAAGUUCAAGGCCAGCCUGGGCUACAGGGUGACAAUGGGAGCUGUAAAGAGAUGACGGCUACUUCAGAAUACUGAGAAAAUGCAGCUGUCACUAGGAGGCAGCAUGGGUUAACUGGGAGCUGGCCUCGGACGCUGUAGCAUCAACCUUGGAAUCAUUAUAAACAACACAUAUUUGAUAUUCACAAACUCUUCUGAACUAGUUGGAGAAAGGGGGUCUACACAUCUAGGGAACUUCAUCAGUUGGUUGGAAACUACUAGCUGUUAGCAUUCUGUCUAAGCUCCACCCCACAGUUACCUGGCAACA